rnacentral:rRNA from 1 species
GAUGAACGCUGGCGGCGUGCUUAACACAUGCAAGUCGAACGGUGAAGCAGGAGCUUGCUCCUGUGGAUCAGUGGCGAACGGGUGAGUAACACGUGAGCAAUCUGCCCUGGACUCUGGGAUAAGCGUUGGAAACGACGUCUAAUACCGGAUACGAGGCGUGGGGGCAUCCCCAACGCCUGGAAAGAACUUCGGUCCAGGAUGAGCUCGCGGCCUAUCAGGUAGUUGGUGAGGUAAGGGCUCACCAAGCCUACGACGGGUAGCCGGCCUGAGAGGGGGACCGGCCACACUGGGGCUGGGACACGGCCCAGACUCCUACGGGAGGCAGCAGUGGGGAAUAUUGCACAAUGGGCGCAAGCCUGAUGCAGCAACGCCGCGUGAGGGACGACGGCCUUCGGGUUGUAAACCUCUUUUAGCAGGGAAGAAGCGAAAGUGACGGUACCUGCAGAAAAAGCACCGGCUAACUACGUGCCAGCCGCCGCCGUAA